rnacentral:misc_RNA from 1 species
ACCUACUGUUUAAUUUUGAGGGUUCGUUUUUACGAAUACUCAAAAUUAGCACUUUAAGCAACGGAAUUUAUUCGUUGGCGCUGUGCGUUAGCACUUUAAGCAACGGGAUUUAUCCGUUGGCGCCGUGCUUUAGCACUUUGAAAACUGCAUAUAUAUUUAGUGAUAUGACAUCUAAUUUGUAAUAUAUAAAGCUGAUAACUUUCUAAAAUUAUCGAAGUUGAUAGCUUCUAAUCUAUCAAACCUUUUUAACUGGUCAA